CUGCCCGACUCGCCCGGGCCGCGGCUGGCAGCGCCUGUGCCAUGGGGUUGCCCACUCUGGAGUUCAGCGAUUCCUACUUGGACAGCCCGGAUUUCAGGGAGCGACUGCAGUGUCACGAGAUUGAGUUGGAGCGAACUAACAAGUUCAUCAAAGAGCUCAUUAAGGACGGCUCCCUACUCAUCGGGGCGCUGAAGAAUCUAUCUAUAGCAGUACAGAAAUUUUCCCAGUCCUUACAAGACUUCCAAUUCGAAUGUAUUGGUGAUGCCGAAACAGAUGAUGAAAUUAGUAUUGCUCAAUCACUAAAAGAAUUUGCAAGGCUACUUAUUACAGUAGAAGAAGAAAGACGGAGACUGAUUCAAAAUGCUAAUGAUGUAUUAAUUGCGCCACUUGAGAAAUUUCGGAAAGAACAGAUAGGUGCAGCAAAAGAUGGAAAGAAGAAAUUUGACAAGGAGAGUGAAAAAUACUAUUCUAUUCUUGACAAGCAUUUGAAUUUGUCUGCAAAGAAAAAGGAAUCUCAUUUGCAAGAGGCAGAUACACAGAUUGACCGAGAGCAUCAAAACUUCUAUGAAGCAUCAUUGGAAUAUGUCUUUAAAAUUCAAGAGGUUCAAGAAAAGAAGAAGUUUGAAUUUGUUGAGCCGCUUUUGUCGUUCCUUCAAGGUUUAUUUACUUUUUAUCAUGAGGGAUAUGAACUUGCCCAGGAAUUUGCACCAUAUAAGCAACAGCUACAGUUCAACUUGCAGAAUACAAGGAAUAAUUUUGAAAGUACACGACAAGAGGUAGAGCGGUUGAUGCAAAGGAUGAAAUCUGCCAACCAAGAUUACAGACCACCUAGCCAGUGGACAAUGGAAGGCUACCUUUAUGUCCAGGAGAAACGACCACUUGGUUUCACAUGGAUUAAACAUUACUGUACAUAUGAUAAGGGAAGUAAAACAUUUACAAUGAGUGUUUCAGAAAUGAAAUCCAGUGGGAAAAUGAAUGGCCUUGUUACUAGCUCGCCAGAAAUGUUUAAGUUAAAAUCUUGCAUCCGACGAAAGACAGAUUCAAUUGACAAACGAUUCUGCUUUGACAUAGAAGUAGUUGAAAGGCAUGGGAUCAUCACAUUACAAGCCUUCUCUGAAGCUAAUAGGAAACUCUGGCUUGAAGCCAUGGAUGGGAAGGAACCGAUUUACACGCUGCCUGCCAUUAUUAGCAAGAAAGAAGAAAUGUACUUAAAUGAGGCAGGAUUCAACUUUGUGAGAAAGUGUAUUCAAGCUGUAGAAACAAGAGGUAUCACCAUUUUAGGACUCUACCGAAUAGGGGGAGUGAACUCCAAGGUUCAGAAACUCAUGACCACCACAUUUUCCCCCAAAUCCCCUCCCGAUAUUGACAUUGAUAUCGAACUGUGGGACAAUAAGACAAUAACGAGUGGACUGAAAAACUACCUCAGGUGCCUUGCAGAACCACUGAUGACUUACAAGUUGCACAAAGAUUUUAUUGUUGCUGUUAAAUCAGAUGAUCAGAACUACAGGGUGGAGGCUGUACAUGCAUUGGUGCACAAACUGCCAGAGAAAAACAGAGAGAUGCUGGACAUCUUAAUAAAGCACCUGGUCAAAGUAUCACUGCACAGCCAGCAAAACCUCAUGACUGUCUCAAAUCUUGGUGUCAUAUUUGGUCCAACUCUGAUGCGAGCACAGGAAGAAACUGUGGCUGCCAUGAUGAAUAUUAAAUUUCAGAAUAUAGUGGUUGAAAUUCUGAUAGAGCAUUAUGAGAAGAUUUUUCACACUGCACCAGACCCAAACGUUCCCCUCCCUCAGCCUCAGUCUCGAUCUGGAUCCCGAAGAGCCCGAGCAAUUUGCCUCUCAACAGGCUCCCGGAAACCCAGAGGGCGGUAUACUCCAUGCCUAGCAGAGCCUGAUAGUGACUCCUAUAGCAGCAGCCCAGACAGCACGCCCAUGGGCAGUAUUGAGUCACUCUCCUCUCACUCCUCUGAACAAAAUAGCACUACAAAGUCAGCUUCCUGCCAGCCCAGGGAGAAAUCUGGAGGGAUACCUUGGAUUGCAACCCCAUCAUCUUCCAAUGGACAGAAAAGCCUUGGUCUGUGGACAACUAGUCCUGAAUCAAGUUCUCGAGAAGAUGCGAUGAAAACAGAUGCAGAGUCCGAUUGCCAGAGUGUUGCCUCAGUCACCAGCCCAGGGGAUGUUUCCCCUCCUAUAGACCUAGUCAAGAAGGGGCCUUAUGGGCUUUCAGGACUGAAAAGAACCUCUGCUUCCUCCCUCAAAUCCAUCUCUGCUUCUGAAGGAAACAAGAGCUACAGUGGAUCUAUACAAAGCUUAACUUCUGUAGGUUCCAAGGAGACAUCCAAAGCCACACCAAACCCAGAACUUCCUCCAAAAAUGUGUAGGAGGUUAAGGCUGGACAUUGCCUCAAGCAAUGGCUAUCAGCGACCUGGUUCAGUAGUGGCAGCAAAGGCUCAACUAUUUGAAAAUGUUGGCUCACUUAAGCCUAUUUCAUCUGGGCGACAAGCCAAAGCCAUGUACUCCUGUAAAGCAGAGCACAGCCAUGAGCUGUCCUUCCCCCAGGGGGCAAUAUUUUCUAAUGUAUACCCAUCAGUGGAACCAGGAUGGUUAAAGGCAACUUAUGAAGGCAAAACAGGACUAGUUCCAGAAAAUUAUGUUGUCUUCCUCUAAUACUCUUUAGUGGAUGGCAGAAUCUUCAUGGUAUCCAUGGUAACAAAUGAUAAGUGCUAUGAUUUUAUCUGACACAGAUAGGGUGAUCAGCCCACCAAAUGAAAACAGUCAAUUUCUACCAAGUUCUUCACCAGCAGACUACAGAGUUCCCUAGAGCUAGAGUUUAAACUUGCCCUGCUUAUGGAUGGGCUAAUCACUUCCAAAAAUUAUUGAGUAUGGAAAGCUGUCAUAACAUUACAGCGAAGAAAGGUAACAGCCUGUUGUAAUGCUGUGAUGAAUGUUACCACCUUGACACCAUUUCAUUGACUUACACCCUGGUAUGUAAAGAGCACUGGUGCUUCUUUCGCAAACCCACAACUCCAAUGUAGUCAUGAAGAAAACAUCAGACACACCCAGAUGAAAGACAUUCUACAGGAUAUUUGUGAACCCAGAACUCCUCAAGAUUAUUAAGGUCAUACAAAAUAAAGAAAUGCUGAGAAGUUGUCAGAUCAGAGGAGCCACAGGAGAAGGGACAUCUGAAGACAAUGUGGAACACUGUAUUGGCUCCUGGAAGAGAAAAAAAAAAAAACAAUGAAAAACUGAUGAUGUUCAAAUAAAGCCUAAUGUUUAGUAAUU